ACGCUCGACACCUACGGGAGGCAGUAGUGGGGAAUAUUGCACAAUGGGGGAAACCCUGAUGCAGCGACGCCGCGUGACUGAAGAAGUAUUUCGGUAUGUAAAGGUCUAUCAGCAGGGAAGAAAGAAGACGGUACCUGACUAAGAAGCCCCGGCUAACUACGUGCCAACAGCCGCGGUAAUCUGAGCGGGCUGGCAAGGC
rnacentral:rRNA from 1 species